rnacentral:rRNA from 1 species
GACAGAGGAUGCAAGCGUUAUCCGGAUUCAUUGGGUUUAAAGGGAGCGUAGGCGGCCUUGUAAGUCAGUGGUGAAAUCUCGCAGCUUAACUGCGAAACUGCCAUUGAUACUGCUUGGCUAGAGUAUAGAUGCUGUGGGCGGAAUAUGACAUGUAGUGGUGAAAUACAUAGAGAUGUCAUAGAACACCGAUUGCGAAGGCAGCUCACAAAAACUAUAAACUGACGCUGAGGCUCGAAAGUGUGGGGAUCAAAACAGGGA